CUUUCAUCUCCCAGUGGUUACAAAACUCUCACCGUAAUGGAAUUUCUGUGGACAUAUUUGUCCCUGGGAUACUGAGCAGCUGGAGGCUGGAAAGCUCUUUCACUUUUGGAUCCCUAGGGAACCUCACCCGGUGUGCAGCCAAUGACACACGUAUGGGUACGUUUAUGGGACAGAGUAAAGGGAGAUCCAAUUUGCUUCUGCAAAGUACUGCUGCCUUCCACAGCCUCUCGAGGUUAGGAAGUCAAGUCCAACCCAAGAGAAGAGACAUCUUGAUGCCUGAGCUCACAGGCUUGUGUUUGAUGAUGCAAAACUGCAAGGCAGAACCAAGAAACACCCUCGGGAAAACAAAACCCUGUGGGUCCUGUGGAUUGAAUCAAAAGUUUCCCAAGUGGUGGAAGGAACUGGCUUGAAGUCGUAUGCCUGGGGAUCUCCCUGCGGCUCCCACUCCAUCACCUGCCAGCAGAGAGAAGACACCAGAUAUGCUCUUAAAAGAGAUGUCACUAACACGACACAGCACAGUUUCACAUUCCUACUCUCCCCUUGAAUGUGUCACCCGUCAGAUACUACUGCAUGCAAAACACACAGUCCACAAGGCAGGUGACGUCACUGUCUCCACUGUACGUAUGUGGGAAUAAAGGUGGAACCAGGUUAAAUACUA